rnacentral:rRNA from 1 species
UACGGGGGGGGGCAAGCGUUGUUCGGAAUUACUGGGCGUAAAGGGCUCGUAGGUGGCCAACUAAGUCAGACGUGAAAUCCCUCGGCUUAACCGGGGAACUGCGUCUGAUACUGGAUGGCUUGAGUUCGGGAGAGGGAUGCGGAAUUCCAGGUGUAGCGGUGAAAUGCGUAGAUAUCUGGAGGAAUACCGGUGGCGAAGGCGGCAUCCUGGACCGGCAUUGACGCUGAGGAGCGAAAGCUAGGGGAGCAAACGGG